AGACCUGAAAAGUAAAUAAACAUGUUUCAACUGCUCCAAGCGUUAGAACGCUGAAGUGGUAAUGGACCGCCCAUCUCUGCAGAAGGACGGACCGACGUUGAUGAAGAUAUGGAGAUUGCAUUUGAGCAAAUAUGCAUCGAUGAAGUAAAAUAUAGGUACCUGGUGCAAGCAUCUUCCCGGCAGGUUCUCUCAGGAGCACAUCCUGUCACCUCGUGUAACUUGGACUCUGCUUCUCGCGCCAGCCGUCGAAGAUGGGUCCCCAACGAGUCGGAGUUCUUGACUGUAACAAAAAUAUCAUUUUUAGAUAUACCUACAUCUAUAUU